rnacentral:rRNA from 1 species
AACGAACGCUGGCGGCAUGCCUAACACAUGCAAGUCGAACGAGACCUUCGGGUCUAGUGGCGCACGGGUGCGUAACGCGUGGGAACCUGCCCUUAGGUUCGGAAUAACUCCCCGAAAGGGGUGCUAAUACCGGAUAAUUUCUUCGGACCAAAGAUUUAUCGACUUUGGAUGGGCCCGCGUUGGAUUAGCUUGUUGGUAGGGUAAAAGCCUACCAAGGCUCCGAUCCAUAGCUGGUCUGAGAGGAUGAUCAGCCACACUGGGACUGAGACACGGCCCAGACUACUACGGGAGGCAGCAGUGGGGAAUAUUGGAAAACGGGGGAAAGCCUGAUCCAGCAAUGCCGGGUGAGUGAUGAAGGCCGUAGAGAUGUAAAGCUCUUUUAUCCGGGAUGAUAAUGACAGUACCGGAAGAAUAAGCACCGGCUAACUCCGUG